rnacentral:rRNA from 1 species
GAUAGUCCCGUAGUUGACGACGUGUGUUCAGUGAAAUCGAGUAGGGCGGGACACGUGAUAUCCUGUCUGAAUAUGGGGGGACCAUCCUCCAAGGCUAAAUACUACUGACUGACCGAUAGUGAACCAGUACCGUGAGGGAAAGGCGAAAAGAACCCCUGUGAGGGGAGUGAAAUAGAACCUGAAACCGUGUACGUACAAGCAGUAGGAGCA